UUUUCUAUAAAAGCGUAUUUAUUUUGUUAGGUUUUUUAACCUAUUAUUUAUAUUUAAUAUUUUAGUUGAAUUUGAAUUUUUAAAUUUUUUUUUAUUUUGAAUUGUCAUCUGUCCUUAAUAAGUAUGCCAAAUUUCGAGUUAAUCCGAUGUUUUGAAGGAGGUCAAAAUCAUGUUCAAAGAUUCCGUUACAUACUAACAUUCGUAGACUAACAUGCAUACGUUUGAAGCUAAUAAAAGCGUAUUAACAAAAUCAUGUAAGCUUAACGAAAUGAUUAAAUUCAUAUUCAAGACCGCGACAUCUAUUGUUCAUAUUAUAAACUAAGAAUACUCGUGUUGUAAUAUGGUAAGCGCAUCCAUUCGAAGAAAAUCAAUCCUUGGCUUAUUCGAGCUCAGGUUUAACGGCGCGUUGUAAUAGUAAGACUAUUUGUCGGCAGAUGGCGCGCUUAAGCAUAUUCAAAGAUGAACUAAAUUAGAAACUAGAUUAUAUUUGGGGAUAUCAUUGUUUAUGCGAUGAUUAAAUUAUUUCUUAUAAGAAACAAACAAAUGUCAAUUUGUAAUUGUCAAAUUGUAAGGAUUUUUUUUAAAUCUUAUACUUAUACCAUCUUAUACUAAUCUACUAUUAGUCCCCGAUAUAUCAACUAUCACGGGACUCAUUAAGGAACUUAUUAAAUGAAGUGAAAAUUCUGUUAAGAACGAGAUAAAUAAUAAUAUCUAAAAAGAAGAUGGCGCGGCGUCGCAAUUUUAAAAGAAUUCGGAGCACAGAAAGAUCACUAAUUGUUAAUUUCAAACGAGUCAAUUCCAGAGAGAACAGAUUGUAUGAGAACAAAACGGCCAAUUCAGGGUUAUAAGAUGUUUUUAGAGGAAUAUAAAAUUGUUUGUCUUCUGGAGUUACGAACACAAGAUAUUUGACAGAUGCCUGAAUCCCGCUUACGACAUUUUCAAGAUAAGCUUUCAUUUAAACAAGUUCCGAACAACAACAUUCGGACUGCCGAGCUAUUUCACCCGCUCGGUGGAAGAUCUUCCGUUUGUCGUAAAUCUCCUGUAAACAUUUAAGCCCCGGAGUUUACACUUGUAUAUUGAGAAGUGAGAUAAACUAGGGCGAUUUUUUUAUUAAUUAAAAUCUGUUAACGAAUGAAAA